AUUGAACGCUGGCGGCCGGCCUAACACAUGCAAGUCGAACGAGUGGCGGACGGGUGAGUAAUGUCUGGGCAACUGCCUGAUGUAGGGGGAUAACUACUAGCAACGGUAGCUAAUCCCCCCUACCAUCGGAUGUGCCCAGAUGGGAUUCGCUAGCAUGUGGGGUACCGGCUCACCUAGGCGACGAUCCCUAGCUGGUCUGAGAGUAUGACCAGCCACACUGGAACUGAGACACGGUCCAGACUCCGACGGGAGGCAGCAGUGGGGAAUAGUGCACAAGGGGCGAAAGCCUGAUGCAGCCAUGCCGCGUGUAUGAAGAAGGCCUUCGGGUUGUAAAGUACUUUCAGCGGGGAGGCGUUACCAGCAGAAGAAGCACCGGCUAACUCCGUGCCAGCAGCCGCGGUAAUAC
rnacentral:rRNA from 1 species